rnacentral:rRNA from 1 species
GGCGCUUCUUACUGGUCUGCCUAACGGUAUGCACUGGUGAGUCGCGUCUUCCUUUCUGGCUAAUUCGUCUGCUCUUUACUGGGUGGGCGAAUGAACCAGGACUUUUACUUUGAAGAAAUUAGAGUGUUCAAAGCAGGCGUUCGCUUGAAUACAUUAGCAUGGAAUAAUAGAAUAGGACUUUGGUUCUAUUUUGUUGGUUUCUAGGACCGAAGUA